rnacentral:rRNA from 1 species
CUACGGGGCGCAGCAGUGAGGAAUAUUGCACAAUGGGGGGAACCCUGAUGCAGCAACGCCGCGUGGAGGAUGACGCAUUUCGGUGUGUAGACUCCUUUUAUAUGUCAAGAAAAUGACGGUAGCAUAUGAAUAAGCACCGGCUAACUCCGUGCCAGCAGCCGCGGUAAUACGGAGGGUGCAAGCGUUACUCGGAAUCACUGGGCGUAAAGGACGCGUAGGCGGGUUGGAAAGUCAGGUGUGAAAUCCUACAGCUUAACUGUAGAACUGCACUUGAAACUUCUAAUCUAGAGUAUGGGAGGGGGAGAUGGAAUUAGUGGUGUAGGGGUAAAAUCCGUAGAUAUCACUAGGAAUACCUAAAGCGAAGGCGAUCUCCUGGAACAUUACUGACGCUAAGGCGUGAAGGCGUGGGGAGCAAACAGGAUUAGAUACCCGCGUAGUC